ensembl:snRNA U4 U4 spliceosomal RNA
AGCUUUGCGCAGUGGCAGUAUCGUAGCCUAUGAGGUUUAUCCGAGGCGCGAUUAUUGCUAGUUGAAAACUUUACCCAAUACCCC